rnacentral:piRNA from 1 species
UGCUCUUUUGUGAUGGGUUGUGAGAC